rnacentral:rRNA from 1 species
UACGGAGGGAGCUAGCGUUGUUCGGAAUUACUGGGCGUAAAGCGCGCGUAGGCGGUUUCUCAAGUCAGAGGUGAAAGCCCGGGGCUCAACCCCGGAACUGCCUUUGAAACUAGGAGACUGGAAUCUUGGAGAGGUCAGUGGAAUUCCGAGUGUAGAGGUGAAAGUCGUAGAUAUUCGGAAGAACACCAGUGGCGAAGGCGACUGACUGGACAAGUAUUGACGCUGAGGUGCGAAAGCGUGGGGAGCAAACAGG